GGGAUAACUUCGGUUGUCCC
rnacentral:misc_RNA from 1 species